UACGUAGGGGGCAAGCGUUGGCCGGAUUUAUUGGGCGUAAAGAGCGUGUAGGCGGCCAGGUAGGUCUGCUGUGAAAACUCGAGGCUUAACCUCGAGCUGUCGGCGGAAACCAUCUGGCUAGAGUCCGGAAGAGGAGAAUGGAAUUCCCGGUGUAGCGGUGAAAUGCGCAGAUAUCGGGAAGAACACCCGUGGCGACGGCGGUUCUCUGGGACGGUACUGACGCUGAGACGCGAAAGCGUGGGGAGCGAACAGG
rnacentral:rRNA from 1 species